UUUAAACUGAUGUGCUUGUGUGUUUCUUACAGGGUCCAGCUGCAGAUUUAGAUUUUUCUGGUACCAGUCAAUGCAAUUCUUGUCCUUCAUGAGAGAUAUGUAAAGAACAGUGCGAACUUGUAUGUCUGCUCAGAAGGAAGCCGCUUUGACAACAUUCUGACCGAGAUGAAGUGUAAGCA
rnacentral:lncRNA from 1 species